rnacentral:rRNA from 1 species
AGUCGAACGCACUCUCGUUUAGAUCGAAGGAGCUUGCUCCUGAUUGAUAAACAUUUGAGUGAGUGGCGGACGGGUGAGUAACACGUGGGUAACCUGCCCUAAAGUGGGGGAUAACAUUUGGAAACAGGUGCUAAUACCGCAUAAAACCUAACACCGCAUGGUGUAGGGUUGAAAGAUGGUUUCGGCUAUCACUUUAGGAUGGACCCGCGGUGCAUUAGUUAGUUGGUGAGGUAAAGGCUCACCAAGACCGUGAUGCAUAGCCGACCUGAGAGGGUAAUCGGCCACACUGGGACUGAGACACGGCCCAGACUCCUACGGGAGGCAGCAGUAGGGAAUCUUCCACAAUGGACGAAAGUCUGAUGGAGCAACGCCGCGUGAGUGAAGAAGGUUUUCGGAUCGUAAAACUCUGUUGUUGGAGAAGAAUGUAUCUGAUAGUAACUGAUCAGGUAGUGACGGUAUCCAACCAGAAAGCCACGGCUAACUACGUGCCAGCAGCCGCGGUAAUACGUAGGUGGCAAGCGUUGUCCGGAUUUAUUGGGCGUAAAGCGAGCGCAGGCGGUUUCUUAAGUCUGACGUGA